UACGUAGGGUGCAGGCGUUAAUCGGAAUUACUGGGCGUAAAGCGUGCGCAGGCGGUUUGCUAAGACAGGUGUGAAAUCCCCGGGCUUAACCUGGGAACUGCGCUUGUUACUGGCAGGCUUGAGUGUGGCAGAGGGGGGUGGAAUUCCACGUGUAGCAGUGAAAUGCGUAGAGAUGUGGAGGAACACCGAUGGCGAAGGCAGCCCCCUGGGCUAACACUGACGCUCACGCACGAAAGCGUGGGGAGCAAACAGG
rnacentral:rRNA from 1 species